rnacentral:rRNA from 1 species
UACGAAGGGGGCUAGCGUUGCUCGGAAUUACUGGGCGUAAAGGGUGCGUAGGCGGGUCUUUAAGUCAGAGGUGAAAUCCUGGAGCUCAACUCCAGAACUGCCUUUGAUACUGAGGAUCUUGAGUUCGGGAGAGGUGAGUGGAACUGCGAGUGUAGAGGUGAAAUUCGUAGAUAUUCGCAAGAACACCAGUGGCGAAGGCGGCUCACUGGCCCGAUACUGACGCUGAGGUGCGAAAGCGUGGGGAGCAAACAGG